rnacentral:rRNA from 7 species
GAACGACUCUCGGCAACGGAUAUCUCGGCUCUCGCAUCGAUGAAGAACGUAGCGAAAUGCGAUACUUGGUGUGAAUUGCAGAAUCCCGUGAACCAUCGAGUCUUUGAACGCAAGUUGCGCCCGAAGCCUUCGGGCCGAGGGCACGUCUGCCUGGGCGUCACGCA